CCUACGGGAGGCAGCAGUAGGGAAUAUUGCUCAAUGGGGGAAACCCUGAAGCAGCAACGCCGCGUGGAGGAUGAAGGUUCUCGGAUUGUUAACCCCUUUUGUUAGAGAAGAUAAUGACGGUAUCUAACGAAUAAGCACCGGCUAACUCCGUGCCAGCAGCCGCGGUAAUACGGAGGGAGCAAGCGUUACUCGGAAUCACGGGGCGCAAAGAGCGCGUAGGCGGGAUCGCAAGUGUGAUGUGAAAUCCUAGGGCUGAACCAUAGAACUGCAUUUGAAACUGUUAGUCUGGAGUAUGGGAGAGGUAGGUGGAAUUCUUGGUGUAGCGGUGAAAUCCGUAGAGAUCAAGAGGAAUACUCAUUGCGAAGGCGACCUGCUAGAACAUAACUGACGCUGAUGCGCGAAAGCGUGGGGAGCAAACAGGAUUAGAUACCCCAGUAGUC
rnacentral:rRNA from 1 species